rnacentral:rRNA from 1 species
CGAGAAAGCCCGCAAGGGUGAGUAAAGCGGCGCACGGGUGCGUAACACGUGGAUAAUCUGCCCUGGAGUCCGGAACAACUCGCCGAAAGGCGAGCUAAUGCCGGAUGAGACCACGGGGGCUUCGGCCCCUGAGGGAAAAGGUGGCCUCUGUACACAAGCUAUCGCUUCAGGAUGAGUCCGCGGCCCAUCAGCUAGUUGGCGGGGUAAUGGCCCACCAAGGCGACGACGGGUAGCUGGUCUGAGAGGACGAUCAGCCACACUGGAACUGAGACACGGUCCAGACUCCUACGGGAGGCAGCAGCGGGGAAUCUUGCGCAAUGGGCGAAAGCCUGACGCAGCAACGCCGCGUGUGUGAUGAAGGUCUUCGGAUCGUAAAGCACUGUCGCGAGGGACG